GAAACUUAAGCCGCUGAAACUCCCUCCACUUGUGAGAUCAAGAAAAACCUGGCUGAAACUGGUUGGAACCAAGAUGGCUAACUGGAGCUUGCACAGAAUAAGCUUGCUGAUGUCAUAGCCUGAAUUUCCACCACGUUUCAUACUAACUCUCCCUGAAUUUGCCAUGCAACUCAGGAGUUAACAUGAAGAAAUAACUAUGCAUGCCCAAGGACUUUCCAGACCUCCCUUUUCCUUGCACAAAUCACCUACUAAUCUCAGAAUCCACCCCCUGAACCUUUUCUAAUAAAAGUACUGCCUUAAUGCCAGCAGAAAGAGACAAAUUUGAGCUUGACUCCUGUCUCCUUCAGAGGUGACUUUUAAUAUAAAGCUUUUCUUUUUUUCAAAAAUUUGGUGUCAGUGUUGGCUUCUAGCACAUUGGGCAGUGAGCCCCUUUUGCUUGUUAACAAACUAGAACCCCAGGUGAGACGAACAGCCUGUCCAAGGUACUGUUGCCCCUAGUGGUGUGCAGGCCCCCUGCACUGAUCCUGAGUGGCCACCUAGACCAGGGUGUCCAGAGGCUCGACUAUAGGGUUCCUUCUUCUCCACCAUGGCACUUCAGGCUCCCUUGGCACUUCUCUUUUGGGAAAAUAAAUUGCUUCUGGAUUAGACAUCUUUCUGGUGAGUACCUUGUUAAUAUGCCCCUGUACUUUUAAUUGUCUUUGAACUCAUCAUAACGACUGUGGGUUCAAGUCCCACCCUGUGGUUUAGGAUUAUGGAUGAGAGUCCCAACCUUGUCUAGGAUUGUGGAUUUGAGUCCUACCCAAGGGGGAUUCUGGUCAGUUCAGAGUCCCAAAUCUGGUGUAUGUUUAAGUCCCAAAGAAUUAAGGCAAUACUAAAAAGCUACAGCCACUAAGAUAAUCUAGUCUGGUUCUGAUUUUUGUUGGUCUGUCUGUAUUUUUGGUCUGUGUAGCAAUAUUUGGCUUAACAGAGGUCAAAGACUGUGAUGGCUACAGCAGAAGCCUUAUGAGAUCUCCAGACUCCUGCACACUCAAUUAGAACAAAGCAACUCCAUAAACUAGAAAACCUGAAGAAAAAUGGCACAUGUAAAACAUUUUCAGUCAAUCCCUCUUUCUUCUUCUGUCCUUAAAGAGUUACCAUGUAGUCUUCUAAGUUCUUUGCCUAUUUUUCCUUCCUGACUACUCUGAAUCUGCUGACUUUUCUGCUGGUGUUGAAAUAAAACUUACUGUUCAUGGUAUUACUAGUUUCAGGUUACUGGCUAAAGAAAAAAAAGGAAAGAGGUCUUUUAAAAUCAAAGUGCCCUGGAAACUGCUUUGCUCAUCAGGGCAAAUAAAAUUUAGCCAUGUGAACAGAUUCCAGUUUUAUCAGGAAAAUAAGUUUGAUCCAACUGUCUUGUUUAUGCAUAUACAUGCAUUAUGUUAUAUGUUGUGUCUAUAUGGUACCAAAUUAGCUUAUAAAUAAAAGAGUACUGAUAAAUUAAAUAAAUAAGUCCAAAUGCUUUCAAGUUCAUUUGACUUUAAUAAUCUUUGGAAAAUUAAAAAAAAAUUAUUGAUAAAAUAAAAAUAGAUAUGUCUUCAGGAUUGUCAGCAUGUAUUUUUGCCUGUGUUUACUGGUCAGCUGAUAUGUGCAUCUGAUAGUUAUUUUAAGAUGUCCAGGUUUGGCAAAAAGUUAUGAAAUUACAAACCCGGCCAAAACAGAAUAAUCUUUGUUUAUGUGAUUCUUUUGAUAAAUAAGACUAAUUUAAUAUUGUUGGUUUAAUGAAAACAAUGAAAUCCUCUGAUUUAUCAGCAAAAUAUCUGUGUAUUUCACUUUAAAGUUCUUGCUUAGGUGAACACCUGAUAUUCACAAGCUGUAAAAUGGUUAACAAGGAAAUAACUUAAAAUGGUGACUAGCUUUGUCUAAUAUCUCUAUUCUCAUAACUAAUCUAGAUAAACUGUUAAAAACAAAUAAAUUAGAUAAAUGUAAAUGGGACAAAUGUGUGUAAAUGAAAUUCUUAUGUUUUUCAAAAUCUUAAAGUUAUGAUACUUACUAUCAUACUUUACUUACUGAGCAGCUGGGUCACUUCCAAUUAAGAAAUGUAUAAGGAAAUGUUUCUAAA
rnacentral:lncRNA from 10 species